rnacentral:lncRNA from 1 species
CUCACUGCAAGCUCUGCCUCCCGGGUUCACGCCAUUCAGGGGAGUGGCGCCGAGACACCGUGUAGCGCCCAUGCCAAGGAGGAAGCGAGACAGCAGGAGCGGAGGAAAGAACCCCGGGCUGUGUUGAGGAAGCCUCCUACUUUUGCCUGAAGUGAGGUCUCCUAUAGAGAGAAGCGUUGACUGGGGACACUCGCUGCUUGCGUUUUGCUGGUAGCUGGGCUGGAAGGUCCACAAAGGUUCACUUCAUCCUCAGCCUCGGAAGUCACACAGCGUCGCUUCUGCUGCAUCCUGUUGAUGAAAGCCAGUCCUGGAGUCAGCCCAGAUCCAAGGGG